UCCGAAUUGGUGUAGUGGCUAACAUUUGACGCUCUCAACAAGAAAGUCUCCUUUCGAGGAAAACAAUCUUGCGAUGUGCCGUCAAGCCCGGGGUUCGAUUCCCCGAUUCGGAG